rnacentral:RNase_P_RNA from 1 species
GCGGCAGGUCGGGUUGUCGCGCCGGGACACGCGUGUGCCGGUGAGGAAAGUCCGGGCUCCACAGAGCAUGGCACCGGGUAAUCCCCGGGCUCCGCGCCUCGCUGCGACGUGCGGAGACAGAAAGUGCCACAGAAACAACACCGCCCCGUUGCGGCGGGGUAAGGGUGAAAUGGUGGGGUAAGAGCCCACCGGUCGCGGGGCAAUCCGCGAUGCAGCGGCAAACCUUGCCAGGAGCAAAGCCAAGCAGCGGACAGGUUGCUCGCCAAUGUCUGCGGGUAGGCUGCGCGGAACGUGCUGGAAACGGUACGUCCAGAUAGAUGAUGACCCAGAAGAGAGCCUGCGGGCGUCUCUUUGGACAGAACCCGGCUUACAGACCUGCCGUUCAU